rnacentral:rRNA from 1 species
UACGGAGGGAGCUAGCGUUGUUCGGAAUUACUGGGCGUAAAGCGCACGUAGGCGGCUUUGUAAGUUAGAGGUGAAAGCCCGGAGCUCAACUCCGGAAUUGCCUUUAAGACUGCAUCGCUUGAAUCCGGGAGAGGUGAGUGGAAUUCCGAGUGUAGAGGUGAAAUUCGUAGAUAUUCGGAAGAACACCAGUGGCGAAGGCGACUUACUGGACACAUAUUGACGCUGAGGUGCGAAAGCGUGGGGAGCAAACAGG